CUUACUCGUUUAGAUUUCAAGAAAGGAUUGCAUGCAGAUCGCCCUAAAACUAAGACUGUUCGUUCUCUACGGGAAAGAACGCGUUCAAGUCCCACAUCGGGAACGGCCAUUCCUGUCCCAGAUCCACCUCGCACGGCUGAGGUUUUACCCA
rnacentral:lncRNA from 1 species